rnacentral:rRNA from 1 species
UACAGAGGUCUCAAGCGUUGUUCGGAUUCAUUGGGCGUAAAGGGUGCGUAGGCGGCUCAUACAGUCAGAUGUGAAAUUCCUGGGCUUAACCUGGGGGCUGCAUUUGAUACGUGUGGGCUUGAGUGGGGAAGAGGGUCGUGGAAUUCCCAGUGUAGAGGUGAAAUUCGUAGAUAUUGGGAAGAACACCGGUGGCGAAGGCGGCGACCUGGUCCUUGACUGACGCUGAGGCGCGAAAGCGUGGGGAGCAAACAGG